AUUCUCUUCAAUCUUCAUUUUCGAUCGGCUGACUGACUUCAAAAAAAAAAAAAAAACCAAACAAACGAUUUCAUAUCUUCUCAAUCCUCUCUCAAUCUUAAACAUAUUUUCUGCACCUAAAACCAGAUUUUCCUAUUCCAAUCACUGCAACGAAAAUGAGAAGAGACCUGCAAUUAAUCUGAUUCAUGGAAUAGUAUCUAAACUUGCAGCGUCUUCAGAUUAUGCAGUGAUACAUACAAUCUAGAAUACAUAUUUUUUUUCGGAUCUGAGGCUCCUUAUUCUGGUAUAUUGCGGCGCUUUGAGUGUGGAAACAGAUUUUGGGGAACAAUAUCUCUUCUGCUAUGAAGCGAUUCUCAGAAGAGCUAAAACUCUUCAUACUGCUAGUGCUAAUGCACUCAAGGAGUUAGUCUACCCAAUAGCCCUUUUCACCUUAGAAGUGAAAAAGGUUGCAGCAGGAGAAACAGAGGAACAACCAAAUUUGUUUGAGGCAGAGAGAAUGGCAAGCAGAGAGAACUUGUUUUGGCAAUGCAAAGAACCAACCACCAUAUUUGAUUUGUAUAUAAAACUGAGCUCUAAAAGUAGGAUCAUUAGUGAAGUAGGUUUCUCAUUCGGAUUGGAUUUGUAAUAGUCUUGUAUAUAUAUAUAUAUAUAUAUAUAUAUAUAUAUAUAUAUAUAUAUAUAUAUAUAUACAUUGUUAAAUUGAGGCAUUUGUUACAAAA